CAGUUCCAGUAGCUCUUUUAGCAUCGCCUUUUUUCGCUCUGUGAUGGUGACAACAACGCAGGGCCGUCGUCAAUUCUCCCCCCCAGAUCGGCUCGCCCCUCCCUCUCUCCGUCCAGAUUCUCCCGUUCCCCGCUUCCGCCGUCGACGCACGGACCGCCCGUGCUCUCGCCUUCCCGUUCUUCUUGACAGCGACUCCGCAAUUCGGGCCGGUCGUCUUCAAUAGCCUUCUAUAAAACUAUGAUGGGAUCACUUGAUGACAGAUCAGAUGAUGAAUACUCUGUCAUUGGUGAUAAGGGAGAAAUUUCUUUCAUUGAUUAUCAGAGAGACCAGUCUGUGUGUAGUUAUGAUCUCAAUGAAAAUGAUCCGGUCGUGAUUUCUGUUCCAUUUGCUUUUGUUGAUGGAAAGCCAAGGUCAGUAUUUGUUGGGGAAACUGCUGCAGAUCCGAUCUCCAUAACAAACAACACUGACGAUCAAAUGGACAUCUGGUCCAUAAAAAUAUAUGCCUCAACUCCUGAGAAUUCAUUUACACUUUCUUUGAUGGAGCCGGUAUCGGAAAGUUCAGGUGUAAAUGCCAUUCAAGGUUUCCUCGAGUCCUUUUCCUUGGAGGACAGAGUUCUGCAGCCAGGAGAGACUCUAAAUGUCUGGUUAUAUUGCAAACCAAGUGAAAUUGGGUUGUACACGUCAGUGGUCCAUAUUGAUGUGGGGAAUGAUAGGAUAGAAAGAGUAGUUUUUCUCUUGGUAGAUAACAAGAUUUCCAGGUCCUUGGUUUCAAAAAGACCAUAUGCAAGAGGCGCCAGAAAGAACCAUUUUGAUGUGGACAAAUAUGUUGUUGGUUUGCGUCCGGCAAGAAUUAACACUGGACGCUAUAAGAAAAGGCUUCCUCUGUAUCCAAUUCCAAAGGAUGUGAGAGAAUUGAUAGAGAACAAGCAGAUUCCUGAUGCAAUAAGAGAAGGUCUAACCAGAGAAAAUUAUGCUCCUUUUUUCAAAACAUUAGUAAUCAUGGAAGAACUGAAACUGGAGGAUGAUAUGAGAUCUUUUGGUAUGGAAAAUGUUACCAUGAGAAGAAAAGGGACUCAGUACCUGACCCUCAAUGUGCCUGGACUGGCUGAGAGACGACCUUCACUGGUCCAUGGAGAUAGCAUUUUUGUAAAGUUGGCUUCUGAUGAAGCGGGUUGCAGCACUCCUUACCAGGGCUAUAUUCACCGUGUCGAAGCUGAUGAAAUUUACUUGAAGUUUGCCAAGGAAGUCCAUAUGUGCCAUAGGGAUGAGAUUGUAUACAAUGUUCAGUUCAGUUAUAACCGAGUCAACAUGAGAAGAUUAUACCAGGCAGUGGAUGCUGCCAAAGAUUUAGAUGAAGCACUGCUUUUUCCCUCAAGUUUACGACGAAAGAGGCUGAUUUCGACAACGCCACUGGUUCCUUUUAAUCAUAUUCUGAAUGAGGAGCAAAGACGUUCAGUUGAGACGAUCCUUGGCUGCAAAGGAGGGCCACCAUAUGUAGUUUAUGGUCCUCCGGGUACGGGUAAGACCAUGACUAUAGUGGAAGGAAUAAUGCAGCUUUAUCAAAAUCAUGCGGAUACCCGGAUCCUUAUCUGCACUCCAUCAAAUAGUGCUGCUGACCACAUUCUAGAGAAGCUUCUUGGGGAGGGGGCUGGGAUAAUUAAGGAAAAUGAGAUUUUCAGACUUAACGCGACUAGUCGACCUUAUGAGGAUAUCAACCCCGAUCGUAUUCGGUUUUGUUUUUUCGAUGAGCUUGUUUUCAAGUGUCCUCCAAUCAAAGCCCUCGUGCGCUACCGGAUUAUCAUCUCAACUUAUAUGAGUACCUCUCUUCUUUCUGCUGAGGGUGUGGAACGAGGCCACUUCUCUCAUAUCUUUUUGGAUGAGGCUGGCCAAGCUUCAGAACCAGAAAGUAUGAUCCCACUCGCUAACCUCUGCCAACCAGAUACUGUUGUUGUUCUUGCGGGUGACCCGAUGCAAUUAGGUCCUGUGGUGUACUCAAAAAUAGCUGAAGAGUAUGGAUUGGGAAAAUCAUACCUGGAGAGGCUGUUUGAUUGUGAAUUUUACUUCAAUGGUGAUGAGAAUUAUGUGAAAAAGCUUAUCCGGAAUUACCGUAGUCACCCAGAAAUACUGCACUUGCCUUCAGAGCUAUUUUAUAAUGGAGAAUUGAUAGCUUGUAAGGAUGAUGCAAGCUGUCUUGGCACAGAGGUGGACCUCAUUCCUAACAGCAAAUUUCCUGUUCAAUUUAUUGGUAUUCAAGGAUGUGAUGAGAGGGAAGGAAAUAAUCCUUCAUGGUUUAAUAGAAUUGAGGCAAGUAAAGUAAUUCAAGUCAUCGAGAGAGUCAUAGCAUGUGAGGAAAUUAACGAGAAUGAUAUAGGUGUAAUAACACCUUAUCGCCAGCAAGUACUUAAACUGAAGACAUCUCUUGAAAGUUUAGAUAUGCCCAAUAUCAAGAUUGGAAGUGUCGAGCAAUUCCAAGGGCAGGAAAGCAAGGUUAUCAUAGUGUCCACGGUUCGAUCUACCAUAAAACACAAUGAGUUCGACAGGGUCCACUGUUUAGGAUUCUUGAGCAAUCCUAGAAGAUUUAACGUGGCUAUAACUCGGGCUAUAUCCUUGCUUAUCAUUGUUGGGAAUCCUCAUAUUAUAACCAAGGAUCCCUACUGGAACAAGCUCUUGUGGUAUUGUGUGGACAACGAUGCUUAUCAAGGUUGUGCUCUUCCUGAGAGGGUCAAGGAAUCUGUUGAGGAUUAUGCAGUUUAUGAGGAAGAAAUCCCCAGGCAUGGGGAAGAAAAUGAUUGGGAUGAAGAACCCCAUCAAACAGAGACUCCUCUGCCAGUUACAAAUGAAGAUGAAUGGUCAGAUGGCUGGAAGUAAGUUGUUGGAAUGUCUGCAAAUAUAGACAGAAGGCAAGUAAAUGGACCUCUUGACUUUGGCGAUGGGCUGUUGAUGUCGCCUUCCUUAGGAAGCUGGGUUUGCGUCUUUUUUCAUUGCUCUGGAUUCUUUUGGCCUUCGAGUCUAUCGGCUUGGAAGGCCCUACUAUUCCCUCCUGUCCUUUUGUAGGGAGGGAAGAAAAACAGUGCUGGUUUGCGUUGCCAACCUCAUUCAGUAGGAACAAUGUAGCGGAAGUCUUCCAAAGUUUCAUUGUCGAUUCUAUGUGAGAAUGUGGUUAUUGUCUAACUGGAGAGGUGCUAGAUUGGCAUUAUUUCCGCUAUGUGGCGGGCCUAAUUCAAUUUUUUUCAUUUUUUGGUAGCGACGUGGUUAUGCACGUUUGAAAUGAGCAUUUGGUUUCACUUUUGGAUGGAAAUAGGUAAGUAUCGAUGGGCAUUCAGCUAGUGAAGUAAAGAGUUUGGGCAUAGUCCUUGA